UUUAUGGAGAGUUUGAUCCUGGCUCAGGACGAACGCUGGCGGCGUGCUUAACACAUGCAAGUCGAACGGUGAUGUCAGAGCUUGCUCUGGCGGAUCAGUGGCGAACGGGUGAGUAACACGUGAGUAACCUGCCCCCGACUCUGGGAUAACUGCUAGAAAUGGUAGCUAAUACCGGAUAUGACGAUUGGCCGCAUGGUCUGGUCGUGGAAAGAAUUUCGGUUGGGGAUGGACUCGCGGCCUAUCAGGUUGUUGGUGAGGUAAUGGCUCACCAAGCCUACGACGGGUAGCCGGCCUGAGAGGGUGACCGGCCACACUGGGACUGAGACACGGCCCAGACUCCUACGGGAGGCAGCAGUGGGGAAUAUUGCACAAUGGGCGCAAGCCUGAUGCAGCAACGCCGCGUGAGGGAUGACGGCCUUCGGGUUGUAAACCUCUUUUAGUAGGGAAGAAGCGAAAGUGACGGUACCUGCAGAAAAAGCACCGGCUAACUACGUGCCAGCAGCCGCGGUAAUACGUAGGGUGCAAGCGUUGUCCGGAAUUAUUGGGCGUAAAGAGCUCGUAGGCGGUUUGUCGCGUCUGCUGUGAAAUCCCGAGGCUCAACCUCGGGUCUGCAGUGGGUACGGGCAGACUAGAGUGCGGUAGGGGAGAUUGGAAUUCCUGGUGUAGCGGUGGAAUGCGCAGAUAUCAGGAGGAACACCGAUGGCGAAGGCAGAUCUCUGGGCCGUAACUGACGCUGAGGAGCGAAAGCAUGGGGAGCGAACAGGAUUAGAUACCCUGGUAGUCCAUGCCGUAAACGUUGGGAACUAGAUGUGGGGACCAUUCCACGGUCUCCGUGUCGCAGCUAACGCAUUAAGUUCCCCGCCUGGGGAGUACGGCCGCAAGGCUAAAACUCAAAGGAAUUGACGGGGGCCCGCACAAGCGGCGGAGCAUGCGGAUUAAUUCGAUGCAACGCGAAGAACCUUACCAAGGCUUGACAUAUACCGGAAACAUGCAGAGAUGUGUGCCCCGCAAGGUCGGUAUACAGGUGGUGCAUGGUUGUCGUCAGCUCGUGUCGUGAGAUGUUGGGUUAAGUCCCGCAACGAGCGCAACCCUCGUUCUAUGUUGCCAGCACGUAAUGGUGGGAACUCAUAGGAGACUGCCGGGGUCAACUCGGAGGAAGGUGGGGAUGACGUCAAAUCAUCAUGCCCCUUAUGUCUUGGGCUUCACGCAUGCUACAAUGGCCGGUACAAAGGGCUGCGAUACCGUAAGGUGGAGCGAAUCCCAAAAAGCCGGUCUCAGUUCGGAUUGAGGUCUGCAACUCGACCUCAUGAAGUCGGAGUCGCUAGUAAUCGCAGAUCAGCAACGCUGCGGUGAAUACGUUCCCGGGCCUUGUACACACCGCCCGUCAAGUCAUGAAAGUCGGUAACACCCGAAGCCAGUGGCCUAACCGCAAGGGAGGAGCUGUCGAAGGUGGGAUCGGUGAUUAGGACUAAGUCGUAACAAGGUAGCCGUACCGGAAGGUGCGGCUGGAUCACCUCCUUUCUAAGGA
rnacentral:rRNA from 1 species